GUACACUCCUACGGGAGGCAGCAGUGGGGAAUUUUGGACAAUGGGCGAAAGCCUGAUCCAGCCAUGCCGCGUGCAGGAUGAAGGCCUUCGGGUUGUAAACUGCUUUUGUACGGAACGAAACGGCCUUUUCUAAUAAAGAGGGCUAAUGACGGUACCGUAAGAAUAAGCACCGGCUAACUACGUGCCAGCAGCCGCGGUAAUACGUAGGGUGCAAGCGUUAAUCGGAAUUACUGGGCGUAAAGCGUGCGCAGGCGGUUAUGUAAGACAGUUGUGAAAUCCCCGGGCUCAACCUGGGAACUGCAUCUGUGACUGCAUAGCUAGAGUACGGUAGAGGGGGAUGGAAUUCCGCGUGUAGCAGUGAAAUGCGUAGAUAUGCGGAGGAACACCGAUGGCGAAGGCAAUCCCCUGGACCUGUACUGACGCUCAUGCACGAAAGCGUGGGGAGCAAACAGGAUUAGAUACCCUUGUAGUCCCAUG
rnacentral:rRNA from 1 species